UCAAUAUGUGUCUGACGUUUGCCUCGAAAAACUCUCAGUCUACCCCUACCUCUGGCCCUCCUAUAUGUAUGAUCAACGUGCUGGUCAUCAGGUCGGUAUGACAUAUCUCCUGACUCACUUAUCCUAUGUGACAUAGAUGCAUCAUCUAUGGAGAGGUCGAAGUCCGAAAAAACAGGAUAUGAGAUAUGCUAGGCAUAUGAUGAGGUACUCAAAUCAUCCAUUGACGGCAUAGUGUGAAGUCAUCUAUCCUCAGAGAUGACUCGCAUAGUAUCGAUAAGAUCGUCCAUGAUAUUGGCAAGUGUUCGGUCCUUAUACCCAACA
rnacentral:lncRNA from 1 species